UACGUAGGGUGCGAGCGUUGUCCGGAAUUAUUGGGCGUAAAGAGCUUGUAGGCGGUCUGUCGCGUCUGCUGUGAAAAUCCGGGGCUCAACCCCGGACUUGCAGUGGGUACGGGCAGACUAGAGUGUGGUAGGGGAGACUGGAAUUCCUGGUGUAGCGGUGAAAUGCGCAGAUAUCUGGAGGAACACCGGUGGCGAAGGCGGCAUCCUGGACCAACACUGACGCUGAGGAGCGAAAGCCAGGGGAGCAAACGGG
rnacentral:rRNA from 1 species